CGUGAAAUUUGGUCAUUUCCUUAGUGUUUUCCUGGCCGACCUGUGCUGGUAUUGUAAUUAAGAGCUAAUACACCAUUCUCUGGUGAACUGCAGCUGCGGCCGAAUUUGAUUGUGUGCAUCAUCCUGCAGAUAUUUUGAAGUAAGUUGGAACCAGCUCUUUGUUAUUUCAAAACCUAAUGAACCAUUUAUUCGCAGAUUUUGUGGGCGCUUCUGCUGUGCUGCGUUCCUGCUCCGCCUGUGUAUUUCUCCGCCCGUGUUUUAUAGUGUUGCGUCCCUGUUGCGCCUUUGCAUUAGUGUGUGCGUUGUGCUUUAGACACGUUGAAGUAAGUUGAAACCAGGUUUUUGUUUGUUAAAAACCUAAAAAGCCAUUUAUUUGCAGAUUGUUUGUAUGCUUCUGCUGUGCGGCGUUCCUGCUUCACCCGUGUAUUAGAUUACUGCGUUCCUGUGAAUACACAUCGUAGUUCAAAGUACAAAACAUUGCUGCUAAAAAUGGGAUUUGCUCACACAAGUUCUUGGCUCAAUCCUUAUCCAUUCUUCCUGA